rnacentral:lncRNA from 1 species
CACUGUCUCAAGUUAGGGGAGGAUUGGGAUCCUGCUAACAUGUUUAAUCCAGCAACAUUCUGUAUGUAUGUACCUGUCAAGAGCCUGUCAUUCAGUGGUUGUUGUUGUGUUACCGGUAGAUAAUUGUCUUACCUUCAUUUUUUUUGUAUAUUAAUUUGGUUGUCAGUUUUCUAGUUUGAAUUGUUUUACAUAGUGAUUUUG